GACGAACGCUGGCGGCGUGCUUAACACAUGCAAGUCGAACGGAAAGGCCCUGCUUUUGCGGGGUGCUCGAGUGGCGAACGGGUGAGUAACACGUGAGUAACCUGCCCUUGACUUUGGGAUAACUUCAGGAAACUGGGGCUAAUACCGGAUAGGAGCUCCUGCUGCAUGGUGGGGGUUGGAAAGUUUCGGCGGUUGGGGAUGGACUCGCGGCUUAUCAGCUUGUUGGUGGGGUAGUGGCUUACCAAGGCUUUGACGGGUAGCCGGCCUGAGAGGGUGACCGGCCACAUUGGGACUGAGAUACGGCCCAGACUCCUACGGGAGGCAGCAGUGGGGAAUAUUGCACAAUGGGCGGAAGCCUGAUGCAGCAACGCCGCGUGCGGGAUGACGGCCUUCGGGUUGUAAACCGCUUUCGCCUGUGACGAAGCGUGAGUGACGGUAAUGGGUAAAGAAGCACCGGCUAACUACGUGCCAGCAGCCGCGGUGAUACGUAGGGUGCGAGCGUUGUCCGGAUUUAUUGGGCGUAAAGGGCUCGUAGGUGGUUGAUCGCGUCGGAAGUGUAAUCUUGGGGCUUAACCCUGAGCGUGCUUUCGAUACGGGUUGACUUGAGGAAGGUAGGGGAGAAUGGAAUUCCUGGUGGAGCGGUGGAAUGCGCAGAUAUCAGGAGGAACACCAGUGGCGAAGGCGGUUCUCUGGGCCUUUCCUGACGCAGAGGAGCGAAAGCGUGGGGAGCGAACAGGCUUAGAUACCCUGGUAGUCCACGCUGUAAACGGUGGGUACUAGGUGUGGGGUCCAUUCCACGGGUUCCGUGCCGUAGCUAACGCUUUAAGUACCCCGCCUGGGGAGUACGGCCGCAAGGCUAAAACUCAAAGGAAUUGACGGGGCCCCGCACAAGCGGCGGAGCAUGCGGAUUAAUUCGAUGCAACGCGUAGAACCUUACCUGGGUUUGACAUGGAUCGGGAGCGCCCAGAGAUGGGUGUGCCUCUUUUGGGGUCGGUUCACAGGUGGUGCAUGGCUGUCGUCAGCUCGUGUCGUGAGAUGUUGGGUUAAGUCCCGCAACGAGCGCAACCCUUGUUCACUGUUGCCAGCACGUUAUGGUGGGGACUCAGUGGAGACCGCCGGGGUCAACUCGGAGGAAGGUGGGGAUGACGUCAAGUCAUCAUGCCCCUUAUGUCCAGGGCUUCACGCAUGCUACAAUGGCUGGUACAGAGAGUGGCGAGCCUGUGAGGGUGAGCGAAUCUCGGAAAGCCGGUCUCAGUUCGGAUUGGGGUCUGCAACUCGACCUCAUGAAGUCGGAGUCGCUAGUAAUCGCAGAUCAGCAACGCUGCGGUGAAUACAUUCCCGGGGCU
rnacentral:rRNA from 1 species